rnacentral:rRNA from 1 species
UGCCAGCCGCCGCGGUAAUACGGAGGAUCCAAGCGUUAUCCGGAAUUACUGGGCGUAAAGCGAGCGUAGGCGGAUUUGUAAGUUGGAGGUGAAAUCCCAGAGCUUAACUCUGGAACUGCCUUCAAAACUACAUUUCUUGAGUUUGGUAGAGGAGAGUGGAAUUCCUAGUGUAGAGGUGAAAUUCGCAGAUAUUAGGAGGAACACCAGUGGCGAAGGCGACUCUCUGGGCCAAUACUGACGCUGAGGUUCGAAAGCAUGGGUAGCGAACAGGAUUAGAUA